rnacentral:lncRNA from 1 species
CUGAUGAUGAAAUAGUAAGCCUGUUGAACAGAAAAUCACACCAAAUGUGAACUGAUAAUCACACAAAAGGUGAACACCUUCAAUAAAUGAACUCUACUAGAUCACUUAGCUCUUUCUUUGACACCUCCUAGUGCAAUCGAAAAUAGCAUCGAUGUUAGAGCUAAGGACUGAGGUAAAUUUUGGUGAAAGCCGGGCACGAAUCACUUGACACGGGCAAGCACGUACCUCGGCCUGGUCAUCUUGUACAGGUGAACGGACAGGGGUGGUGGCUGUGAACGGCCAGAUCGCUUCGGCGGCGGAGCCCCACCGGGAGGAGAUGGCGUGGUGGUGUGGGAGCGAGGGGAGAUGGGGCGCUGCGGCGGCCGGAGCUUAGGGAUAUACGUGCGGCGCGGCGGCCGAAGCUGGGGAAGAUAGGGGCGGGGCGGCUAUGGAAGCAGGGAGGAGAUGGGAGCGAGCGACGGUGAGUGCGGGAGGAAGGUCGGGGUG